UUCUCUUUCCCAUGCCUAAAGGUUGGGCAUCCCACCUUUCUACACGCCAAAAGUCAAGGAGUUGUUCAUCUACAGUGAGGAACGAAGAAAAAAAGCUGUAGAUCAAAGAGUUGAUUCUGCAGUCCAGAUUAAAGAGUUGAUAAAGAUUCUAAAGGGCUGAGAUUCUACUUAAAGAAAAAAAAUCUACUACGAAAAGAUCAAUUCGAGAUUGAUCCUGGUAGAUAUCUAUAG
rnacentral:lncRNA from 1 species